rnacentral:rRNA from 1 species
GAUGAACGCUGGCGGCGUGCCUAAUACAUGCAAGUCGAGCGAACAGACGAGGAGCUUGCUCCUCUGACGUUAGCGGCGGACGGGUGAGUAACACGUGGAUAACCUACCUAUAAGACUGGGAUAACUUCGGGAAACCGGAGCUAAUACCGGAUAAUAUAUUGAACCGCAUGGUUCAAUAGUGAAAGACGGUUUUGCUGUCACUUAUAGAUGGAUCCGCGCCGCAUUAGCUAGUUGGUAAGGUAACGGCUUACCAAGGCAACGAUGCGUAGCCGACCUGAGAGGGUGAGCGGCCACACUGAAACUGAGACACGGUCCAGACUCCUACGAGAGGCAGCAGGAGGGAAUCUUCCGCAAGGGGCGAAAGCCUGACGGAGCAACGCCGCGUGAGUGAUGAAGGUCUUCGGAUCGAAAAACUCUGUUAUUGGGGAAAAACAAAUGUGUAAGUAACUAUGCGCGUCUAGACGGUACCUAAUCAGAAAGCCGCGGCUAACUGCG